rnacentral:rRNA from 1 species
UACAGAGGGGGCAAGCGUUGUUCGGAAUUACUGGGCGUAAAGGGCGCGUAGGCGGCCUGCUAAGUCGAACGUGAAAUCCCUGGGCUCAACCCAGGAACUGCGUCCGAUACUGGUUGGCUUGAAUCCGGGAGAGGGAUGUGGAAUUCCAGGUGUAGCGGUGAAAUGCGUAGAUAUCUGGAGGAACACCGGUGGCGAAGGCGGCAUCCUGGACCGAGAUUGACGCUGAUGAGCGAAAGCUAGGGGAGCAAACGGG